AGAGCCCCAUAGGGCCCCAUAGAUCCUAUAGCGACCCAUAGAUCCCAUAGAGCUCCAUAGAUCCUAUAGAGCCCCAUAGAUCCUAUAGCAACCCAUAGAGCCCAUAGAGCCCAAUAGAUCCCAUAGAGCCCCAUAGAGCCCCAUAGAUCCUAUAGCAAUCCAUAGAUCCCAUAGAGCCCCAUAGAUCCCAUAGAGCCCCAUAGAUCCUAUAGCGACCCAUAGAUCCCAUAGAGCCCCACAGAUCCCAUAGAGCCCCAUAGAUCCCAUAGAGCCCCAUAGAUCCUAUAGCGACCCAUAGAUCCCAUAGAGCCCCACAGAUCCCAUAGAGCCCCAUGGCUUCUUGGUGACUCUCUGUAGGGCAGACCCACAGAUCCCCGUUAAUUGCCACCAUUAAUUGCCCCACUCAUU